UUAGAACCAUCACAACCCACUGUGCACAACUCACAAAACUCACAACUCACAAAAUUAAAAACACAGAUUGUUUUACGUUCCAACUUUCCCACGUUCCUUGGAUCUCACAUUCUGUAAGCUUGGCAUUGAUAGCAUUGCCAGGCAGUGACGCAGCCAGGGAUUUCUUUAGAGGGUUGGGAGGUGGAGGGGGAGGGGAGAAUCAUGGUACACAAAUUUCUGAGAGCUGGGGGGAUGGACUUCCUGAAUAUGCUUGAGGCACACUCAACGCCUUUAACACUUUAAUGUGUAACAUAAAUCAUGCAAGUUGCGCACAUGGACGCUCCACAUUUAUUGUUCCACUGAGGCUGGUACUGCUGGUACUGCAGAAAUUGGUUUGUGCAGCCAAGAGCACCAGAAUUACAUGUAAAAUUUUAUGUUCAUAUAAAACUAGUUAUCUAAACUCUCGUGAAGGAAACUGACUAUAGGUCGAAGUUGGCGCGAGAACAGUGUCAGGCAAGCAAAUGUACAAAUUUUGUUCUGCACACUAAGUAAAAUGAAAAUUUAAAGGACGAUGAGAAUAUCAAUUUGCAUGCAUAUAUGUGGAAAAGUGAUAAUUACAACUGAAAAAAAUCUGCUUCCAUUCCACCUUGUGAAAGUGAAUAUAGAGUGAAGCUGCCGCCGAUGUUACACACCACCACCACAAGCAACGAACAUCACACCCGCACGCAUGUGUCUGGAAGUGCAGCAUGCAUCCUCAUUCUUCUAGGCCCUCCACCAAGUGCAAGUGCAUUAUUGAACUGAAUGAAUGUUCAAACAUAAGAUGCAUCAGAAAAUGUGUAAACUGCAACUUACACACAACCUGCAGACAUGAUAGCUUCGUUUGGAUUGUUACUCGAAUAGGUGGCAGAACUGUUAGCGCAGCAUACAUCCUCACUCUUGUAGGCACUCCGCCUAGCGCAAGUGUGUUAUAGAACUAAUUCAAUUUCUCAAAAUAAAAUGCAUCAGAAGAUUAGUAAAAUACGAUUUAUGCACAAUCUACAGACAUAAUAGCAUCAGAUGUAAAUCAAGUAUACGAAAAACAUAAUUCUGUUACGUGGAAACUCAUAACACAAUGCCUUCCAGCUGCCAUUUGUUUUUAUGUGAGCAAAACCGCAUAUGCGGUCACGGAAAAUCCUGACCAACUAGAGGCGAACAGCUUCGCUGUAAAACUGCACGAGGUUUAAACGAAUGAAGAGAUAAAGUGAUGAGGGAAAUUACGGAGGCCAUCCAUAUCAAAAAGGAAGGUGCCACAUGUCACUACUCAGGUCCUAGAGUGGUUGAAGAAAACCCUAUUAUGGCUGCUCCUGCCACCUAUUCAAACACUGCAUCAUCUCAUCUCUGGGACGUUUGCCUCCUGGACUGAAGACAGAUGUGUGAACGAGGCGAAGUCUUACUGCAUUAAGGCAGAUGCUUUAUAUUGUAGGAAUUGCAUGAAGAUUAAACUUGCCCCUGCUUCUGCACAUGCAAGCACAACAUCAAGGCAGCGCAGUUCACUUCUGAGAGGAGAAAAAAAAAAACAAAAAAAACACGCACACACACACAAUUUCCAUGGCGUCGUGCUCCCAGAAGAAACUAGGAUGUUUUAUUAAACACUUUGGAAGGCAGUUACAGUGAACACAGGCAGGAAUCAAGGAUAGCUUUGGGAAAUUGUUAUUUGGACUAAAAUUAACUUCAGCACCAGCCUUGGGGGGGGGGGAAACAAAAAAAGAACCAGCCUCUGAAGUUUAUGAUGCACCACAAGACGUCACAGGAUGACUGACACUAUGAGUAGCAUUUUCCUGUCUUCCAUUGCAUGUGACAUUUCCAACUAGGCACACAACAAUAUUCACAUACUAUUCCAAACUAAAGCGCGAGUGACUUCAAGCAACUCAUGCAAUCACAAAAGUGUGCAAAUAAUAAUAAUAGUAAAAGACAUAUAGCAAGCCACACAAUCGCUCUCUCUCUCUCACUAUAUGUACAAAGGACAUAAAUUAUUAUAAUGCAUGCAUACAUAAACAUACCGUUUGCACCAGCAUGCUCAAAACAAAAUAGAGGAACAAUGCUAUUUGUAGCUAAAUCACUAUGUCUUGAAAGAAGAAGAAAAAUUGAAGUAAGAAGACCAAUAUGUGCUCGGGGUCUGUGAAGCACCAUCAUUUGUACUCAAAUACGCAUUGCGAGUACUAACAGUAACAGAAUUAUGAGGAAUUAAAUACCAAGCUGCGAAAAUUGCCCUAGACUCUAGCCCCACAGGAAGACUGACAUUUCCGAUUUAGCUAGAUGUAGAAGUUCAAACAAUAUUUCAACAAAGGUGUUUGUUGAAUUAAAGAGCAGAAAUUAGCACAUUACGUGCUGCGUUUGUGUAGGGAGCCUAUUUUGAAUAGUUUUUCUGGCUAAAAAACUGUCUCAUUUAAACCAAGAUUUCGCAGUGCGCUUUGUUUACUAUUACGUCUGGAGGCAGCAUUUGACUGCCUCGUCCAGAAUAAGCCAGAAGUACACAUGCCUUGUAGUGAUGGCAGACAAAAAAAGUAACAUUGGUAGCAAAAGGAACAGCUGCGCCAUCUGUCCUUGUAGAGCAAAGCACUCAUCUCAAUGGAGAUGACGGAAGAGGAACGUUUCCCUCUUCAUUAUAUAACAACUUCUUGUGCACAAACAGAGAGGGACAAAGAAGAGGGGCAACACAAGGACGAGCGCUUAUCCUUGUGUU